AAAUAAAAGCUUAGUAAUAAGGAGCAACAAAAGCAAAAAAAAAAAAAAAAAAAAAAAGCACACAAAAAUAUUCACAGCACAACUUCCUGAGAUGUUAACCAGGUGAGGUUUAGCUAUAAACUGAUUCAUAUUGGUGGAUUCUCUCCUUUCUUUGUGCCUGGGCUUUUUGUCAUGCUGAUGUAUCAGCAUGAAAGGGUUGUUAGGUCAAGAACUGAAGUUUUGUUCCACAACCAAGACAUUGUUUCCCCAUGAACAACUUGGUAGAGAACCGAAUUGUUUGAGA